UCAGUCGACUCCUACGGGGAGGCAGCAGUGAGGAAUAUUGGACAAUGGAGGCAACUCUGAUCCAGCCAUGCCGCGUGUAGGAAGACUGCCCUAUGGGUUGUAAACUACUUUUAUAGAGGAAGAAAUCGCAAUACGUGUAUUGCUCUGACGGUACUCUACGAAUAAGGAUCGGCUAACUCCGUGCCAGCAGCCGCGGUAAUACGGAGGAUCCAAGCGUUAUCCGGAAUCAUUGGGUUUAAAGGGUCCGUAGGCGGGCGUAUAAGUCAGUGGUGAAAGUUUGCGGCUCAACCGUAAAAUUGCCAUUGAUACUGUAUGUCUUGAAUAAUUGUGAAGUGGUUAGAAUAUGUAGUGUAGCGGUGAAAUGCAUAGAUAUUACAUAGAAUACCGAUUGCGAAGGCAGAUCACUAACAAUUUAUUGACGCUAAGGGACGAAAGCGUGGGUAGCGAACAGGAUUAGAUACCCUGGUAG
rnacentral:rRNA from 1 species